CAUUAUAAUUUAUGACACAUUUAUAACAGAGAACUUUCCAUUCUUUAAUUAGUUUUUCCAUUCCCACAUCAUACACACCCAAGAGACCUUUUAAGUUAUUGUGAAUUCCACUUCUUGAUGGCAGUCCGUAAUUUGAAUCUGGGUUUCUGUUUUUUUAGGUUUGUUGAGUUUGGGGGGAUUUGAAGAGAUUAGAGAGAGAAAGCAUACGUUUGGAGAGAGAAGCGACUAGGAGAGAGAAGCGGCGAUCAAGAACCGACCAUGGCUCCGGCCGCCUUCACCAAUGCAUCUCCGCCCACCUCCACCAAGGCUGGUCGUCAUCGCACCAACUCCGGGUAACCCGGGUAGGUUAAUCAUUUGGCUAAGAUUUAUGAUUUGAUUUUUUUAGGGUCUAGGCAGAGAUGGUGAUGGAUGUUUAUCAUGGGUUUCUAUUUGGGUUAUUUUUGCAUUAAGUUAGUAGCAUGUUGUUAAAAUUAAUCCAAGGAAUUAGACAGAAAUGAAAUAUGAAUUAUAUCACAGAAUAGGGCGAAAAAUGUAUCAAUGGAUUGGGGUCAGUGGUGCAGUUUUGUUUUUGAAUAUAGAAGCAGAAUUAGAUCAGAAAAGGGAGGGGGGGUGUCUAGCAGUGGCUAGCUUUGUAUAA